GAUGAACGCUGGCGGCGUGCCUAAUACAUGCAAGUCGAGCGAACAGACGAGGAGCUUGCUCCUCUGACGUUAGCGGCGGACGGGUGAGUAACACGUGGAUAACCUACCUAUAAGACUGGGAUAACUUCGGGAAACCGGAGCUAAUACCGGAUAAUAUAUUGAACCGCAUGGUUCAAUAGUGAAAGACGGUUUUGCUGUCACUUAUAGAUGGAUCCGCGCCUCAUUAGCUAGUUGGUAAGGUAACGGCUUACCAAGGCGACGAUGCGUAGCCGACCUGAGAGGGUGAUCGGCCACACUGGAACUGAGACACGGUCCAGACUCCGACGGGAGGCAGCAGUAGGGAAUCUUCCGCAAUGGGCGGAAGCCUGACGGAGCAACGCCGCGUGAGUGAAGAAGGGCUUCGGGUCGUAAAACUCUGUUAUUAGGGAAGAACAAAUGUGUAAGUAACUAUGCACGUCUUGACGGUACCUAAUCAGAAAGCAACGGCUAACUACGUG
rnacentral:rRNA from 1 species